rnacentral:rRNA from 1 species
CAGCAGCCACGGUAAUACGAAGGGUGCAAGCGUUAAUCGGAAUUACUGGGCGUAAAGUGUGCGUAGGCGGUGAGUUAAGUCUGCUGUGAAAUCCCCGGGCUCAACCUGGGAAUGGCAGUGGAUACUGGCUCGCUAGAGUGUGUCAGAGGAUGGUGGAAUUCCCGGUGUAGCGGUGAAAUGCGUAGAGAUCGGGAGGAACAUCAGUGGCGAAGGCGGCCAUCUGGGACAACACUGACGCUGAGGCACGAAAGCGUGGGGAGCAAACAGGAUUAGAUACCCCCGUAGUCCCUGUCUCUUAUAC